rnacentral:rRNA from 1 species
UACGGGGGGUGCGAGCGUUGUCCGGAAUCACUGGGCGUAAAGGGCGCGUAGGUGGUUUGAUAAGGGUGUGGUGAAAGCCCGGAGCUCAACUCCGGGUCUGCCGUGCCGACUGUCAAACUCGAGGGCUGUAGAGGCAGACGGAAUUCCGGGUGUAGCGGUGAAUGCGCAGAUAUCAGGAAGAACACCCGUGGCGAAGGCGGCAU